UUGUAUCUGGAGGGGGUGGGAGUCACACACCUGCUAAAGUGGAUUCCGCUGGGAAGGAAUUCCGUUGGCCGAACUCCGGUGAUGUCACCUCUCUGCUAUGGCAGGCCCCAGGCUCCUUGCCGGAGUGUCCGAAGGGAGGGGUGGGACUGUUCUGUCUCUGGUUGGUUUUCAGCUCCCGGUUUGCUAUUUCAUGAAGGCCUGGCUAGAGACCUCUUCCUAGAGUCCCUGCACCGCUCCUGCUGAGCUGCGCCUCGGGGGUUAGCCGCCCAGUUGCGGGGGCCACGGGCGGGCGGUCACCGAGUCACGUGGGCAGCGGCUGGCGGGUCCGGACCUCUGUGCCACGUGGCGGAGAUUCACUCGUCUGGGGCAAACUGUCACCUCCAAAAAUCCUACCAAUUGCCGGCCGGUCUCUCUUCAGUGGAAUUUCGCCAGGAGCCUCUCAGCAGCAAUUUCUACAGAUGAAGUUCUAACUCUGACUAUGGUCAAUAUUAGCUGGCUAAUUCUUUGAAUCUGGCUAAGGUGGAAUCUUCCAAGGACAAAGAGGAUUUGCUCACUAACCGCCAGUUUGCCAGCUGGAGCUACAGAAUGCUGUGGGGAGCUGAUGAAAAUGAGGUGGCACUUCAAAAACCUGGAACCAAUUGACCUUAACUGUGUUUCUUCAUGCUUUUAUAUGUCAUUGUUGAAGCUGCAGGUACAGAAGAGUUCCAGGCAGUGGAGAGGAGGUGAGGAAGAAAGAUAAGGUCUACUAGGUGUGUGUACUCAGCCCACAUCUCUCCUCUCUCUCUUCACUUGGGGUCCACAUUGCCUUUUCUUCUGUGGAGGCUUGCUGUUUCCUGGCCCGUAAGAAGACUUCUGGAUUCUUCUUUUCCUACAGUGGUAAGAGAGAGAAGAGAAGAAAUAGAAAAAGAAAGAGAAAGGAUUUCCUACCUAUUGGUGAAUUUUUUCAAGAAAGAAAAAGCAAGUUUUCAAAUCUCAUUCCACCCAUCCACUGACGUUGGAGCCAGAAAAGGAUAAACUAUUGAGAUAUUUCCAAUUUCAAGAGACCACCAGCUUCUCCUACUGUGUUUUCCCAAGACUGCUGCCAGAUCACAAGCCUAGAGAGAGGACAGAAAGGACUCUGUGAAGUUAGCAGAUUCAGGUUUUAUUAUAUCCAUUUGGCAAAUAGCCACCUGCAUUUUCAUCCUCCUCUCUUUUGUGAUGGAUCAUUGUUAAGCUGGAAAAAGGCUCAAGGAACUGGGACUCUACUUCCCACUGGAGUCCAGAGGAAACAGCAAGAAGAUGGCAGGAAGCCAGAGUCCUCCACUGAUGGGGAACAGAAGCUCGGAUAGGCUGAAUGACCUCUUCAAGAUUGUACAGCUAAAAAUUGUAGCAAUAAGUUUACUAAAAGACAACUGCUGGGUUUGGGUUGUGGCUCAGAGGUAGAGCACUUGCCCAGCAUGAUGAGAAAAUGUGUUUGAUCCUCAGCACCACAUAAAAUAAA